rnacentral:lncRNA from 1 species
UAUUAAGAUAUCUCCAGCGCGCGCGUGUGUGCGUGAGAUGCGCUGGAAUGAAAGAUGCUCCAUAAAAUGAAGUUUAUUAUUAGUAUUAUUAUAGCUCCCCCCAGGCCUAAAAAUAAAGCAAAGACUAUAACCACAGACACUUCAAAGGGGAAAGGGGGAGCCACGGCAAACAGCCUCCGCCGGCCCCCCCACCCCGGCGCCGACCUUUAACCCUCGGGAUCGCCGACCCGGGGGACCGCCACCCUCCCGGCCCGCGCACGCCGCUCACCCGCCGACUCCCCGGUGUUGAUCCAGUCCGGGUUGGCGAUGCUGGCGAUGGCGAAGAUAUCGGCGGCCAGAAAGAGACAUCCUGAGAUGAUGGUCAGUUUAUCCAUCGCCCCGCCCCGCUCCCCCCACCCCCCACCGCAGGGCAGGCCGCGGCCUCACUCCUCGCGCCCCAUGGGCCGCCGGGCCCCGGGGUCCCCGCGCCGCCGCCCUCGGCCCUCGGCCCGCGCCGCGCGCUCGCGCCCUCCGCGCCGGGACCCGCAGCCGCCGCCCGCCCCGGAACUGCUCGGCCCGCCCGCCCCUCACCCGGAAGCGAAACCGCGCGCCGGCCGGCGGCGCCCAGGACUGCCCUGCAGAGCCUUCCCGAGGGGGCGUCGGCUCAGCCCGGCGCUCGGGGCUGCUACGGUGGUUCGGGUCGGAGACCCCUGAGAUCUUAAAGAUUUGUCCAGUGAGAAUUAGGUGCAGACUGUUCCAGAGACAAGGAAACAGUCACUGGGGAGAGAGAAAGUGGAUGUCAGGUUCAGGGACCUGCAGAACGGCCCGUGUGACUAGAGAGUGAGUGGCAGGAGAAAAGU